CCUCAGUAGCUCAGCGGUAGAGCGAUCGGCUGUUAACUGAUUGGUCGUAGGUUCGAAUCCUACUUGGGGAGA
rnacentral:tRNA from 2 species